AUUGAACGCUGGCGGCAUGCCUAACACAUGCAAGUCGAACGGCAGCACAAUAAAGAUUUCGGCCUUUAUGGGUGGCGAGUGGCGGACGGGUGAGUAACGCGUAGGAAUCUGUCCUGGAGAGGGGGAUAACCCGAGGAAACUCGGGCUAAUACGGCAUGACAUUGAGAGAUCAAAAGCAGGGGACCGAAAGGCCUUGCGCUCUGGGGUGAGCCUACGGCGGAUUAGCUAGUUGGUGGGGUAAAGGCGUACCAAGGCGACGAUCCGUAGCUGGUCUGAGAGGAUGACCAGCCACACUGGGACUGAGACACGGCCCAGACUCCUACGGGAGGCAGCAGUGGGGAAUCUUGGACAAUGGGGGAAACCCUGAUCCAGCGAUGCCGCGUGUGUGAAGAAGGCCUUCGGGUUGUAAAGCACUUUAGGUGGGGAAGAAAGGUAGCGAGUGAAUAACUUUCUGCUGUGACGGUACCCACAGAAUAAGCACCGGCUAACUCUGUGCCAGCAGCCGCCGUAA
rnacentral:rRNA from 1 species